ACCUUUGAUCCGUACGGGGAAUGAAAGUUCUAGCCCGGAGAGGGACACUGAGAUACUGGUCCCAGCCCUACGGGGUGCAGCAGGCGCGAAACCUUUCCAAUGUGCGAAAGCGUGAGAAGGGAAUCCUAAGUGCUUAUGUUUUUACAUAGGCUUUUGCCAAAGGUAAAUACUUUGGAGAAUAAGUGGUGGGUAAGACUGGUGCCAGCCGCCGCGGUAACCCCAGCGCCACAAGUGGGGAUCACGUUUAUUCGGUCUAAAGCGUCCGUAGCAGGUUCUGUAAAUUUUUUGUGAAAUUGUUGCGCUUAACGCAACAGAUUGCAGGAAAGACUGCAAAACUUGGAACUGGGAGGAGUAAGCAGUAUUUUUGGGGGAGCGGUAAAAUGUUAUAAUCCCAAGAAGACUACCUGUGCCGAAGGGGGCUUACUAGAACAGAUUCGACUGUGAGGGACGAAAGCUAGGGGAGCAAAACGGAUUAGAUACCCGUGUAGUCCUAGCCGUAAACACUGCGAGCUAGAUAUGACACAAACCUCGAGUUUCUGUUGUAUCAUAACGAAGGUGCAAGCUCGCCACCUGGGGAGUAUGGUCGCAAGGCUGAAACUUAAAGGAAUUGGCGGGGGAGCACUACAAGGGGUGCGGCGUGCGGUUUAAUUGGAUUCAACGCCGGAA
rnacentral:rRNA from 1 species